GAUGAACGCUGGCGGCGUGCCUAAUACAUGCAAGUCGAGCGAACAGAUAAGGAGCUUGCUCCUUUGACGUUAGCGGCGGACGGGUGAGUAACACGUGGAUAACCUACCUAUAAGACUGGGAUAACUUCGGGAAACCGGAGCUAAUACCGGAUAACAUAUUGAACCGCAUGUUUCAAACGUGAAAGGCGGCUUUGCUUUCCCUUAUGGAUGGAUCCGCGCCGUAUAAGCUAGUUGGUAAGGUAACGGCUUACCAAGGCAACGAUACGUAGCCGACCUGAGAGGGUGAUCGGCCACACUGGAACUGAGACACGGUCCAGACUCCUACGGGAGGCAGCAGUAGGGAAUCUUCCGCAAUGGGCGAAAGCCUGACGGAGCAACGCCGCGUGAGUGAUGAAGGUCUUCGGAUCGUAAAACUCUGUUAUCAGGGAAGAACAAAUGUGUAAGUAACUGUGCACAUCUUGACGGUACCUGAUCAGAAAGCCACGGCUAACUACGUG
rnacentral:rRNA from 1 species